rnacentral:rRNA from 1 species
UAGUCCACGCCGUAAACGAUGAUCACUCGCUGUAGGCGAUACACAGUCUGUGGCUAAGCGAAAGUUUUAAGUGAUCCACCUGGGGAGUACGAUCGCAAGAUUGAAACUCAAAGGAAUUGACGGGGGCCCGCACAAGCGGAGGAACAUGUGGUUUAAUUCGAUGAUACGCGAGGAACCUUACCUGGACUUAAAUGUAGAUUGCAUAGCUUAGAGAUAGGCUUUUCUUCGGACUAUUUACAAGGUGCUGCAUGGUUGUCGUCAGCUCGUGCCGUGAGGUGUCGGGUUAAGUCCCAUAACGAGCGCAACCCUUGUCCUUAGUUGCCAGCACGUAAAGGUGGGAACUCUAAAGAGACUGCCGGUGAUAAACCGGAGGAAGGUGGGGACGACGUCAAGUCAUCAUGGCCCUUAUGGGUAGGGCUACACGCGUGCUACAAUGGGCGUCCCAAUGGGCAGCUAAGUCGCGAGAUGGAGCUAAUCCUGCAAAGACGUUCUAAGUCCGGAUUGGAGU